rnacentral:rRNA from 1 species
AGGGCACCACCAGGAGUGGAGCCUGCGGUUUAAUUUGACUCAACACGGGAAAACUCACCCGGCCCGGACACCGUGAGGAUUGACAGAUUGAUAGCUCUUUCAUGAUUCGGUGGCGAGUGGUGCAUGGCCGUUCUUAGUUCGUGGAGUGAUUUGUCUGGUUUAUUCCGAUAACGAGCGAGACUCUAGCCUGCUAACUAGUUCAGGCAUUGCCUUGUGCUCUGUGACUUCUUAGAGGGAUUUUCGGUGUUUAGCCGCACGAAAUUGAGCAAUAACAGGUCUGUGAUGCCCUUAGAUGUCCGGGGCUACACGCGCGCUACACUGGCGAAAUCAGCGUGCUUGUCCUUUCCCGAAAGGGAUUGGUAAACAAAUGAAAAUUUGCCGCGAUUGGGAUCGGAAAUUGCAAUUAUUUUCCGUGAACGAGGAAUUCCAAGUAAAUGCGAGUCAUCAACUCGCGUUGAUUACGUCCCUGCCCUUUGUACACACCGCCCGUCGCUGCCCGGAACUGAGCCAUUUCGAGAA